rnacentral:guide_RNA from 1 species
AUAUAGAACAAACAAAACAA